rnacentral:rRNA from 1 species
UACGUAGGGGGCAAGCGUUGUCCGGAUUUAUUGGGCGUAAAGAGCGUGUAGGCGGCUUGGUAGGUCCGCUGUGAAAACUCGAGGCUCAACCUCGAGACGCCGAUGGAAACCGUCUGGCUAGAGUCCGGAAGAGGAGAGUGGAAUUCCUGGUGUAGCGGUGAAAUGCGCAGAUAUCAGGAAGAACACCCGUGGCUAAGGCGGCUCUCUAGUACGGUACUGACGCUGAGACGCGAAAGCGUGGGGAGCGAACAGG